rnacentral:misc_RNA from 1 species
GAUGAAGAACGCAGCGAAAUGCGAUACGUAGUGUGAAUUGCAGAAUUCAGUGAAUCAUCGAAUCUUUGAACGCACAUUGUACCUCUCGGUAUUCCGGGAGGUAUGCCUGUUCGAGCGUCAUUUGUACCCUCAAGCUCUGCUUGGUGUUGGGUGUUUGUUCCGCCUCUGUGUGUGAACUCGCCUCAAAACAAUUGGCAGCCGGCGUACUUGUUUCGGAGCGCAGCACAUUUUGCGAUCCAGAUCAACGUACAGCGGCAUCCAAGAAGCCUUAUUUAACGCUCUUGACCUCGGAUCAGGUAGGGAUACCCGCUGAACUUAAGCAUAUCAAUAAGCGGAGGA